GACGAACGCUGGCGGCGCGCCUAACACAUGCAAGUCGAGCGAUGAAAUUUUAACCGAUCUCUUCGGAGAGAAGAUAAAAUGGAUUAGCGGCGGACGGGUGAGUAACACGUGAGAAACCUGCCUUUCACAAGGGGAUAGCCUCGGGAAACCGGGAUUAAUACCCUAUGACACAUUUCCUCCGCAUGGAAGAAAUGUUAAAACUCCGGUGGUGAAAGAUGGUCUCGCGCCUGAUUAGCUAGUUGGUGGGGUAACGGCCCACCAAGGCCAUGAUCAGUAACCGGCCUGAGAGGGUGAACGGUCACAUUGGAACUGAGACACGGUCCAAACUCCUACGGGAGGCAGCAGUGGGGAAUAUUGCACAAUGGAGGAAACUCUGAUGCAGCGACGCCGCGUGAGCGAUGAAGGCUUUCGAGUCGUAAAGCUCUGUCCUAUGGGAAGAUAAUGACGGUACCAUAGGAGGAAGCCCCGGCUAACUACGUG
rnacentral:rRNA from 1 species